UCCGGUUUAUCACCGGCAGUCUCCACAGAGUCCCCGGCAUUACCCGCUGGCAACUAAGAGCAGGGGUUGCGCUCGUUGCGGCACUUAAGCCAACACCUCACGGCACGAGCUGACGACAGCCAUGCAGCACCUGUGCUAGCCCCUUGCGGACACGUGCUUUCACACGCUUUAACUAGCAUGUCAAGCCUAGGUAAGGUUCUUCGCGUUGCAUCGAAUUAAGCCACAUGCUCCGCCGCUUGUGCGGGCCCCCGUCAAUUCCUUUGAGUUUCACCCUUGCGGGCGUACUCCCCAGGUGGAUUACUUAACGCUUUCGCUAAGACGCCGACAGUUUAUCGCCGACAUCGAGUAAUCAUCGUUUACAGCGGGGACUAC
rnacentral:misc_RNA from 1 species